CAGUAGCCGCGGGAAUACGUAGGUGGCAAGCGUUGUCCGGAAUUAUUGGGCGUAAAGGGCUCGCAGGCGGUUUCUUAAGUCUGAUGUGAAAGCCCCCGGCUCAACCGGGGAGGGUCAUCGGAAACUGGGAAACUUGAGUGCAGAAGAGGAGAGUGGAAUUCCACGUGUAGCGGUGAAAUGCGUAGAGAUGUGGAGGAACACCAGUGACGAAGGCGACUCUCUGGUCUGUAACUGACGCUGAGGAGCGAAAGCGUGGGGAGCGAACAGGAUUAGAUACCCCCGUAGUCCCUGUCUCUUAUAC
rnacentral:rRNA from 1 species